UACAGAGGUCUCAAGCGUUGUUCGGAUUCAUUGGGCGUAAGGGGUGCGUAGGCGGCGCGGUAAGUCGGGUGUGAAAUCUUGGAGCUUAACUCCGAAACUGCAUUCGAUACUGCCGUGCUUGAGGACUGGAGAGGAGACUGGAAUUUACGGUGUAGCGGUGAAAUGCGUAGAUAUCGUAAGGAAGACCAGUGGCGAAGGCGGGUCUCUGGGCAGUUCCUGACGCUGAGGCACGAAGGCCAGGGGAGCAAACGGG
rnacentral:rRNA from 1 species